rnacentral:lncRNA from 1 species
CCUUCUGAUGCUCCUCUAGAAGAGGCAAGGCAGUUUGCUGCACAGACUGUUGGCAACACUUACGGUAAUUUUUCGUUAGCAACCAUGUUUCCCAGGAGGGAAUUUACCAAAGAAGAUUAUAAAAAGAAGUUACUGGAUUUGGAACUUGCCCCAAGCGCUUCGGUGGUACUGUUGCCAGCAGGAAGACCAACUGCAUCCAUUGUACACUCUUCCAGCGGAGACAUUUGGACCUUGUUGGGAACAGUGCUUUAUCCAUUCCUUGCCAUCUGGAGAUUAAUUAGCAAUUUCUUGUUUAGUAAUCCGCCUCCCACACAGACUUCAGUGAGAGUAACAUCGUCAGAACCCCCAAACCCUGCAUCAUCUAGCAAAUCAGAAAAAAGGGAACCAGUGAGAAAAAGAGUGCUGGAAAAACGUGGAGACGACUUUAAAAAGGAGGGGAAAAUUUAUAGAUUAAGGACUCAAGAUGAUGGUGAAGAUGAAAACAACACUUGGAAUGGAAAUUCCACUCAACAGAUGUAGUGUGACAAGUAUAAUAUGUGCAAUAAUCAUUGUUUCUCUUAUGAUUUAAUUCAACUAAAAUUCUACUGGAGAAGUGGGACUGCUUUAUAUUUUCCAACUGGUCUAUAAAAUGUCUCUUUAUUCCUGCUUAGUGGGUGUGGGUUGAAGGUGUUUAACUCAGAAAAGUAAAGACAGGAAAUAACUCUCUGCUAGGUCCUUGCUUAUAUGGCAACCACUGCUAGAACCCUAAAAGAACCAAAAAUCUGCCACAGCCUGCCUCCAUCAGCUUCUUAUUUAGUAUUUCAUAUGCCCAUUAGCCCUAUGCUUCAGAUGACACGUUUUGUUUAGAGCUACUUUGCUCCAAGACUCUUAAGCCCAAAGUAACUGGUAUGUCACUGAGUAACUUGACUCGGUGUCAGAGCAUUUUAACUAGCCACUCAGAUGAGAAUUUAUGUUUAACUUCUCUUUUUACUCAUCAGCUGCAAGCAAAAUCUUGUAGUUUUUAAUCUUAAACACUGAAUAAAAAAACUUUCCCCUAAAUUGGAAUGAUCUUAGUUUUGCUUUGAGUUUUGUUAUCUAGCAUCUUUUUGUUGCACAGGGCUCUAUUGAGGUCCUAUGUCUCUGAUUUUUUUUUUUCCCCAGUAUUGCCCUGGAGCUGUCUCUGGAAAGUAGCUGGCGAGGUUACCUUAACUAUCACUGAAGAAAGAAAUUUUCUGACACACUGAUGGCAUGUGACUUGUCUCCUAAGUCAGUGAGGCAUCACUUUGUUUGCAUAAAGUAUACGGUUUGUUAAGGCCUUUGUUCUUGUGAGAUGCAAAACAGCUGCUAGUCUGCAACCUAGUUUUCCCUCUCACCUUUAACUGACGUUUUGUCCUCAAUAAUUACACAAGGACCUAGAGUACCUAUAGGACAAAAAGUAUAGAAUAAAAAUAUGCCUUUAGUCAUUUGGUUUUUCUUAAAAAGUUGAGAUUCUUAAUCUGACUUACAUGUUACUUUAUCCGUAUGUCUUUGUUAGUGGAGACCGCUAAACUAAUGAUGUUUGAAAACAGUUCCUCUGUUUUAGAUUGGAAGAUAGCACUCUAGAGUGGACAUACGGAAAGACUGUGACUUUAUUUUGUAAUGGGAGGAAGAAAUUUUCUCAGAGCAAACUUUCUAUUUUUUACCUGUGAAAUAACAGUGACUUUUUAAAAUGGUGACAGUGUUGGCAAGGAAACAGCAACACAGGCUGCGCUGUUGGUAGGAGUGAAAACCAGUAUAAUUCUUCUGAAAAACAUUUAUCAGAAACUUAAAAUAUUUCAUACCGUUUGAUCCAGUAGCUUCUUCUAAAUCAUAAAUGCAGACAAUGUUUAGGUAAAGACAUACUCAUUAAGUGUUAUUUAUUUUACUCAAGAACUGGAAA